rnacentral:rRNA from 1 species
UACGUAGGGGGCGAGCGUUGUCCGGAAUCAUUGGGCGUAAAGAGCGUGUAGGCGGCUUGGCAAGUCUGACGUGAAAGCCCGCGGCUCAACCGCGGAUUGUCGUUGGAAACUGCCUCGCUAGAGUCCGGAAGAGGAGAGCGGAAUUCCUGGUGUAGCGGUGGAAUGCGCAGAUAUCAGGAAGAACACCCGUGGCGAAGGCGGCUCUCUGGGACGGUACUGACGCUGAGACGCGAGAGCGUGGGGAGCGAACAGG